CAGUGGCGAACGGGUGAGUAACACGUGAGCAACCUGCCCUGAACUCUGGGAUAAGCGCUGGAAACGGCGUCUAAUACUGGAUAUGAGCUGCGGAGGCAUCUUCGUGGUUGGAAAGAUUUUUCGGUUUGGGAUGGGCUCGCGGCCUAUCAGCUUGUUGGUGAGGUAAUGGCUCACCAAGGCGUCGACGGGUAGCCGGCCUGAGAGGGUGACCGGCCACACUGGGACUGAGACACGGCCCAGACUCCUACGGGAGGCAGCAGUGGGGAAUAUUGCACAAUGGGCGGAAGCCUGAUGCAGCAACGCCGCGUGAGGGAUGACGGCCUUCGGGUUGUAAACCUCUUUUAGCAGGGAAGAAGCGAAAGUGACGGUACCUGCAGAAAAAGCGCCGGCUAACUACGUGCCAGCAGCCGCGGUAAUACGUAGGGCGCAAGCGUUAUCCGGAAUUAUUGGGCGUAAAGAGCUCGUAGGCGGUUUGUCGCGUCUGCUGUGAAAACCCGAGGCUCAACCUCGGGCCUGCAGUGGGUACGGGCAGACUAGAGUGCGGUAGGGGAGAUUGGAAUUCCUGGUGUAGCGGUGGAAUGCGCAGAUAUCAGGAGGAACACCGAUGGCGAAGGCAGAUCUCUGGGCCGUAACUGACGCUGAGGAGCGAAAGGGUGGGGAGCAAACAGGCUUAGAUACCCUGGUAGUCCACCCCGUAAACGUUGGGAACUAGUUGUGGGGUCCAUUCCACGGAUUCCGUGACGUAGCUAACGCAUUAAGUUCCCCGCCUGGGGAGUACGGCCGCAAGGCUAAAACUCAAAGGAAUUGACGGGGACCCGCACAAGCGGCGGAGCAUGCGGAUUAAUUCGAUGCAACGCGAAGAACCUUACCAAGGCUUGACAUACACGAGAACGCUGCAGAAAUGUAGAACUCUUUGGACACUCGUGAACAGGUGGUGCAUGGUUGUCGUCAGCUCGUGUCGUGAGAUGUUGGGUUAAGUCCCGCAACGAGCGCAACCCUCGUUCUAUGUUGCCAGCACGUAAUGGUGGGAACUCAUGGGAUACUGCCGGGGUCAACUCGGAGGAAGGUGGGGAUGACGUCAAAUCAUCAUGCCCCUUAUGUCUUGGGCUUCACGCAUGCUACAAUGGCCGGUACAAAGGGCUGCAAUACCGCGAGGUGGAGCGAAUCCCAAAAAGCCGGUCCCAGUUCGGAUUGAGGUCUGCAACUCGACCUCAUGAAGUCGGAGUCGCUAGUAAUCGCAGAUCAGCAACGCUGCGGUGAAUACGUUCCCGGGUCUUGUACACACCGCCCGUCAAGUCAUGAAAGUCGGUAACACCUGAAGCC
rnacentral:rRNA from 1 species